rnacentral:rRNA from 1 species
GGAGUUUGGUCCGUGUCUCAGUACCAAUGUGGGGGACCUUCCUCUCAGAACCCCUACUGAUCGAUGGCUUGGUGGGCCGUUACCCCGCCAACAACCUAAUCAGACGCAUCCCCAUCCUAUACCGAUCAAUCUUUGCUUCACGUCAGAUGCCAUCUAUGAAGAACAUAGAGCAUUAAUUCGACUUUCGCCGGGCUAUUCUCUACUAUAGGGAAGGUUGGAUACGCGUUACUCACCCGUGCGCCGGUCGCCAUCAAUCUUAGCAAGCUAAGAUCAUGAUGCCCCUCGACUUGCAUGUGUUAAGCCUGUAGCUAGCGUUCAUC